rnacentral:rRNA from 1 species
CCUACGGGAGGCAGCAGCAAGGAAUUUUCCGCAAUGGGCGCAAGCCUGACGGAGCAACGCCGCGUGCGGGAUGACGCGUUUCGGCGUGUAAACCGCUGUUCCUGGGGACGAAGCACUGACGGUACCCAGGGAGGAAGGCCCGGCUAACUACGUGCCAGCAGCCGCGGUAAUACGUAGGGGCCGAGCGUUGUCCGGAGUUACUGGGCGUAAAGCGCGCGCAGGUGGCUCAUUACGCCCGGCGUGAAAGCCCCCGGCCUAACCGGGGAGGGUCGUCGGGGACGGGUGAGCUUGAGGGUCGCAGGGGCUGGUGGAAUUCCCGGUGUAGUGGUGAAAUGCGUAGAGAUCGGGAGGAACACCCGUGGCGAAGGCGGCCAGCUGGGCGACACCUGACACUGAGGCGCGAAGGCGUGGGGAGCGAACGGGAUUAGAUACCCUUGUAG